UUCUGACUCCUCCUUUGUUCGCCACGUAUACAAUCAUCCAAAAAGCAGCACCUUAUUUCUGGCGCUAAGCAGUUCGUGAUAACACAUUAAAAUCUCGCGCAUGGAGAUAGCAUUACCUUUACAAGAAUAUCGCGGACAUCAUUAUUGCACUACUUGUCGUGCAGCCCCAGCAACCGUUCUCUCCGAAUCAAGUACACAUGACGGCAAAAUACCGUGUAGUUUGCUUGCUCAUGAUUACAAUUUCACUUCUGGCAAGUACCGGUUCGAUGUGGCAAAUACGUCAGACUCUAGAACAGUCUCAAGAAAGGCCAAGUAUGUUUCCAGUAAAGGGAGCACCUCCGUGUUCGGGGAACUGUAGCACUGGCUUAAAGUUUUCCUGCAUGGCUAAUUGCACAAAAUGCGUUCCUUGCAGCAAUUGCCGUCAAUGCAACUGUACAUGCGUCAAAUACAAAGACCCCUGCGCUUCGAUGCGAUCAUAUUAUUGCGGAAAUAUGCUUCAACUCAAGUGCCGAUCAUAUAAUAAUGGGUGUUUCUGCUAUUGUGGGAUCGCACCACUGAUGAUGUUUUCAAGAGGUUAAGUUCUGGUGUAGUAGACGUUUUUGGCAGCUCCUGACAGUAGUCAGUACGGGCGCUGCUAGAUACCGGCCUAUACACUCCUUCAAAAAAAUUUACUGAUAUACGAGUAGUACAUGAUCAUAAGUACAAAAUUUGAAUGUCACGUUAGGUAGAAAUACAUUUUAUUCGAAGGUCCGGAAAAAAUCAGCCGUACCACCAUUGACGACGGCAGUGGCAGCCAGGCAAUUCCGCUCGAGAAAAAGCAAGUGAUUCGGCCUGAGCACUCGACUUAAGGUAAAGGCAAUAUGAGAGUUGACUCGACGAAUAGAUUGUAGGAUAAGCGCUUUCACUGCGGCCUUCUGUACGGCGCCUCUAUAUGAAGCAACAUUUAAGUGCUGUUCUAUUCAUUUCAUUUGCGGAACUCAUUGGUGUAAGCGAAAGUACGUUUUUCAUAAAAGUAUGUCAUCUUAAGUACAAAUUGCUUUCUUCACAAUUAUUCACCUGUUAUUCCUAAGUCCAAUCUCUCUCGAAUAAAAACAACCCUAAGUGUUUCUCUUGGAGACCGGACAUAUAAAAGAGGAGCAAAUGUUUCUAUGCAACAAAACAGAGAAUGUGACAAUGCAAUGUCUUCAUGUUGUGAGUACAGUAUGUGAUUGUGCGUUUAUGUUUUAAUUUAUUUUGACACAUUUGUUAUAGAAUGAAAAAUUGAAACAAAUGACGUUAUUGCAGAUCAAUGAUCUGCCAAGACUGACAUAAUUUGCAAGAGAAACAAAAUCGAAUCGAUCCAUGCAGUAGGUAAACUGGUAACAAUAAUAUUUUAGCUACAAACUUUAUAGCGCAUGAAUUCGCUGGAAUGCUCAACGGUUAAGCACAUUAAGGUUUCGUUCUUCUCUACACAAUGUAUCCUCGCAUCAUUGGAAUAUCUAUCCGAUAUUAUGAUAUGCCUGGAUGUUACAGCACGACGCCUGAAUAUAAACCUCGCCCUUAAGUUGGUCAGGAAAUUGACAAAGAUAUUACCGAUGGAGGCCUGUGACCUAGCUUUGAAAGUUGGCCACCCUUUCAUGACUAUGAACCAAAGCUCCGGGAUGAGGUUCUUCGUGCACAAGGAUGUAAAAGUAAGCGUGCUACCACCUACAAUACGGAUCACCGAUCCAGGUUCACAGAGUGAACGCUACGUGGCGCUAACUCUUUGUCGAUAGUUACGCAUGACUUCAGUGACUGCUGACUUGGGCCUGCAUCGAAAGUUUAGGUGGGUGUUCAGUCGGCCGAACUUGUACAUGCCAUAUUUUCAUUGGACUUCCUGUAAUGCUGUGACUUUGGACCAAUAGCGAAGCGCUAAUGAAAAAAAAAAAACUCAACGUCCUUCCACUCUGUGAAGAAAGAUGACCAGCGUAGCUAUGAAUGAAUGAAUGAAUGAAUGAAUGAAUGAACUUUAUUCCUGGUCCGAGCGAGGGGAGACUGGGCCUAAAGGCACGAAUGCCUAACAGAUCCCAGAUCCCACAGUUACAACAACAGUCAUAUCCAGUACAAAAGAAUAGAUAUAAAACGUACAUACUUCUCGCGCAAAAGAACAGAAUUUCAAUAGCCAUAACAAUUGCAACAUUUACAAUUAGUCGCAGUCUGUGGGACCCUUAAUGGCGAACUGCACCUACGCCGCGGGUUGGCCCGGCAAGGCGCUAUCUUCGAGAUCGACGCACGUAUGGGAAGUGCUUAAUGCUUGCUUGUCCUCUCGCGCGGAUCGGCCCAGAAUUUCACUUUCCGCAUACUGUCCCUGAAACCAAAGACUUCACAGAGGGCAGCUGAACCUGAAGAUACAUCUAUGUAGAUAUCUCAACAUUCUAAUAGCUUUAGGUUACAUCGCCCCUGGUGUCACAGAAUCUAGCAUGAUAACACCACAACGCGGACAGUACACUCACCAUAAUCAUAUUAGCUACUAGUGUAUGAGGUGAGUGGCGACAUUCUUUUUUAGCUCUAAGUACCUUUAUUAUGUUCGUUGUAUAAGGGCACUAAGGCAUCCCAAGAAUUUUUAAACGCAAUGUAGUUGCGAAAAAGCGUGAAAAUAUGGCAAGAGCUUGGCUAUCGCCGUCCACAAUUUCGGUAACCCGGUACACGCAAAGUCCGUUAACGCAAAUGAAAAGAAAGCCAUGGAGAAGAUAAAGCACUCUAUUUCAUGUACACAUAAAUAAAGUUUGACGCCGCCCACCCAGCACAUUUCGCAGAAUAGAGGCGGUUCUUCGCCGAGCCCAGACCGGCCAGCUUCUGUUACCAGCAAUGCUACACAUCAUCAACCGGUACUCAUACCCGAGCCCUGAGUGCCGAGCAUGCCAGGCUAGAGGUACGGCCGGGCAUCUUCUGUGGAGCUGCUCUGCCUUUGACACGGUCCGAGAAAGGACACUACACUCCCUGGGCGGAAGCCGACCUGGCACCCUGCAGGAGUGGCCCGACCGGCCAUCGACCAUCGGGCUCAACGACUCAGUCCAACUUUGGAGUGCUUUUUUGUACUUUUUCAGGGACAAGAAAGGGCCUGGCCGCCUCUUUGCAGAGUCGACCUCGGGACCACUCCACCUCAAGGAAGAAGAGACCACCGGUCCCCCUCCCCCAUAGAGCACCCCUUUUCUGCCGCAAGGCUUCGCCUAUUAAACUCGGAAAUAAAUACGUAUUAAAAAAAUGGAA